rnacentral:rRNA from 1 species
AUGUACCAAGCUAACCAACCACCGCCGCCGGCACCGACACCACCACCACCUAGUCCUUCAGCAACAACGUCACCACCUGGUCCCCCUACUGGUACUAAUGGAUGGGUGCAAGUUCAUAACUUCCGUGACACUUUGUACUGGCAAAUCGCACGCUUUGCGGUAUUAAUGCACAAGUUGGUAUACAAGAAGGAGAUGACCCUUGUCGAUGUGUUGUAUGUGAGCAUGCAGCCUUCGGGAAUUGGCAACAACUACUUUCUUGAGAUAAAAGCUGCAGAUGAGAAUAAUAAGGUCGGCAGGUAUCAAGUGCUUGUAUGGGGUGUGCCUGGGUCAACAGCUCAGCCAUGGAAAGUACUGUCGUUUAAAUUUAUAGGAUACUAA